rnacentral:rRNA from 1 species
CAGUCGCCACGGGAAUACGGAGGGUGCAAGCGUUAAUCGGAAUUACUGGGCGUAAAGCGCACGCAGGCGGUCUGACAAGUCAGAUGUGAAAUCCCCGGGCUUAACCUGGGAACUGCAUUUGAAACUGUCAGGCUGGAGUCUUGUAGAGGGGGGUAGAAUUCCAGGUGUAGCGGUGAAAUGCGUAGAGAUCUGGAGGAAUACCGGUGGCGAAGGCGGCCCCCUGGACAAAGACUGACGCUCAGGUGCGAAAGCGUGGGGUGCAAACAGGAUUAGAUACCCGUGUAGUCCCUGUCUCUUAUAC